AUGAACCCUGGUGCUCGCACCCUGCCGACACACCCCUGCUCCGCCAACCACUCGCAGCCACGUCCCCCGCGAAACCAUGGCUGCCCGCCCACACCUGAGACGCAGGUUCCGCCCCCGAAUGCCACGCCUCUCGCCGCCAGGGCCGCCGCCCAACAUCCAGACACCCCCAAGACCAUCCAAAGAGAUCAACUUUGCACCAAAGGAGCACCACCGACCGACGAACCGCAGCAUACAUCCUGCCUUGAACAUCGCUGGAGCUGCGACAGCCAGCACGCGGCCGGGAAAGGGGGAGGUGGGGGAGCGGACGCAUCCGGACCGGCACACCCCUGUGCCAGUGACGGGGGCCCGAGCACGUCGGCGCCACUCAUCCCUCCCGCCAGCCUCCCCACCGGACGCACCCCUGUGCCGCCCCACCUCAGCAGCCGAAGCAGCACCGCGCAAGGCCACCAACGCAGACCCGACCACCGGCAAGGAGGGCCCCAAGUACAGCUGCCGAACGCCAAGAAUACUCAUCGGGGAGCCCAUCUGCCCUGCCGCCGUCGUCCAGCCGGCAGGACGACUGGAUCCCGACCAGCACGCCCACCUGCCACCGCCGCUGCGCCUCCACAGCCACCAGCCGAGGCCACGGUAGGGACGGGCGCCAGCAGCCCGCGCCAUCCGCGUCCCUCGCCGGCUGGAUCCAGAUUUGGCCGAACGCCGCCGCCGGAGCCCGCCGCGCACCACCUCCACCGCAGCCCCUUCACGCCGCCGCCCACAACUCGCGUCGCCGCCGCCAGCCGCGCCGCCCCGCCCCGAGCGAACGCCGCGUUGCUGCCCGACCCGGAGGCUCGCGCCUGCUGGACUGAGAGGGGAAAGGAGAGGGCCCUGCCGCCGCCAGCACUGGCCGGGCUUUGCCCGCCAGUACGUCGAGGCGGCGGCGGCGAGGGGAGGGAGGCUCGAGGAAGGGGGGGCUGGGGGCGGCGGAGGGAGAGACAGAUUUAG
rnacentral:rRNA from 1 species